rnacentral:rRNA from 1 species
CCAAUAGCGUAUAUUAAAGUUGUUGCAGUUAAAAAGCUCGUAGUUGAAUUUCGGGGUUAGUAGGUUGGUCAUGCCUCUGGUAUGUACUGGUCUCACUGAUUCCUCCUUCCUUAUGAACCGUAAUGCCAUUAAUUUGGUGUUGCGGGAAAUUUGGACUGUUACUUUGAAAAAAUUAGAGUGUUUAAAGCGAGCUAACGCUUGAAUACAUUAGCAUGGAAUAAUGAAAUAGGACGUUCGAUCUUAUUUUGUUGGUUUCUAGGAUUGACGUAAUGAUUAAUAGGAAUAGUUGGUGGCAUUAGUAUUCAAUUGUCAGAGGUGAAAUUCUUGGAUUUAUUGAAGACUAACUACUGCGAAAGCAUUUGCCAAGGAUGUUUUCAUUAAUCAAGAACGAAAGUUAGGGGAUCGAAGACGAUCAGAUACCGUCGUAGUCUUAACCAUAAACUAUGCCGACUAGGGAUCGGAUGAUGUUAAUUUUUUAAUGACUCAUUCGGCGCCUUACG